UAAUCAUUGCUGGAUGCAAGCUGGCACCGCUGUCUUGUUCUUCUCCUCCGACUACUUCUCCAAGUUCCUCCAUUCCUCCACCAUUCUCUCUCCAAAACAAAUCCUUAAACCCUAACCCUAAUUCACAUUCCCCAAACUGUAAAUAACCAUUAAAUUAAAUUCAUGCUCUAACCACAGGAAGAAAAAUAAAAUGCUUCGUUUAAUUUGUUACCUUUCAUUUCUUGUAAUAUCAAUCACAACCGUCUAUUCCGAUCAGGAAAAAUCGAUAUACGAUGUCUUAAAAGCGCACGGGCUCCCCAUAGGGUUGCUACCGAAGGGAGUGAAGGAAUUCAAGAUCGAUGAAACGGGGCGUUUCGAGGUACACUUGGAUCAGGCUUGCAAUGCGAAGUUUGAGAGUGAAUUGCAUUACGAUAUGAAUGUUACGGGCAGUUUGAGUUACGGGCAGAUCGGAGCUUUAUCGGGGAUUUCGUCGCAGGAGUUGUUUCUGUGGUUUCCUGUUAAAGGGAUUCGAGUUGAUGUGCCGAGUUCAGGUCUUAUUUAUUUCGAUGUUGGUGUUGUUUUUAAGCAAUUUUCACUUUCCUUGUUUGAGAUGCCCAGAGAUUGUGUUGCUGUUCGUAAUGAGGAAAUUGUAGCUCUUCGGCAUCGAAAGUUUAUUGCUGAUACUGUUGCCAAGAGUCAACCUGGGAAGGUAGGAUAUGAACUUGAACAGGAGAAUUUUGGGAGGGAUUUCCUGUAGCGUGCGGCUAAGGUUACUUGUGGGUUAUCCAUUUCAUCUUGUAAAUUUCAUCAGCAGAGAAUCUGUUUAGCAGGUCUGAUGCUUCCAUCCAGUGUGUUUGCUUGGGUUCUUUUAUUAUGGAGAGUAGUGGAGAGCAGAGAAUUUCUCAUGUGGCAUGGACGCUGUUUGGAUUUGAUGGAGUCGAAAGGGGAAAUUAAUUUGAGGAGGCAGCGGUAUGAUGAAAAUUGGCGUCCUGCCUACAGAAGAUAAGGGAGACAGGAGUAAUUCGGUUGAGGUGAUUUCAGGUGUAAAUCUCGAGAGUCACUACUGUCAAAGAAUUUGAGCUGAGGAUUUGACUCCAUUAUUUAUGAAAAUAGAAUCCUGCAACAAGAUAUAUCUUCCCUACUCCUAGGCUUUUUUCAGGGUUUGGGUGGUUGGCUAGGCAAAAUGAGCUGAGCUUUUAGUUUCGGGUUUUAGAAUUUGGUUCAGGAAUUAUGAAUUUAUGAUAUUCAACUGUACUAUAUUUCCAUGUACCGCUAAGUCUAGCGAGACUUGUAUGACAGGUAAAGUUUCAGGUGUCA